GAGCAAUGAUGAUAUCUGCGCUUCAGUGAUGAUAGGGUCAUCACCAACUAUCAUCUCCUACAGAUGAGAAUACGCGCGUCUGAGCUC